rnacentral:rRNA from 1 species
UUAAGUUAGAAAGGGCGCACGGUGGAUGCCUUGACACUAGGAGUCGAUGAAGGACGGGACUAACGCCGAUAUGCUUCGGGGAGCUGUAAGUAAGCUUUGAUCCGAAGAUUUCCGAAUGGGGAAACCCACUAUACGUAAUGGUAUGGUAUCCUUACCUGAAUACAUAGGGUAUGGAAGACAGACCCAGGGAACUGAAACAUCUAAGUACCUGGAGGAAGAGAAAGCAAAUGCGAUUUCCUGAGUAGCGGCGAGCGAAACGGAAUCUAGCCCAAACCAAGAGGCUUGCCUCUUGGGGUUGUAGGACAUUCUAUACGGAGUUACAAAGGAACGAGGUAGACGAAGCGACCUGGAAAGGUCCGUCACAGAGGGUAACAACCCCGUAGUCGAAACUUCGUUCUCUCUUGAAUGUAUCCUGAGUACGGCGGAACACGUGAAAUUCCGUCGGAAUCUGGGAGGACCAUCUCCCAAGGCUAAAUACUCCCUAGUGAUCGAUAGUGAACCAGUACCGUGAGGGAAAGGUGAAAAGCACCCCGGAAGGGGAGUGAAAGAGAUCCUGAAACCGUGUGCCUACAAAUAGUCAGAGCCCGUUAAUGGGUGAUGGCGUGCCUUUUGUAGAAUGAACCGGCGAGUUACGAUCCCGUGCGAGGUUAAGCUGAAGAGGCGGAGCCGCAGCGAAAGCGAGUCUGAAUAGGGCGUUUAGUACGUGGUCGUAGACCCGAAACCAGGUGAUCUACCCAUGUCCAGGGUGAAGUUCAGGUAACACUGAAUGGAGGCCCGAACCCACGCACGUUGAAAAGUGCGGGGAUGAGGUGUGGGUAGCGGAGAAAUUCCAAUCGAACCUGGAGAUAGCUGGUUCUCCCCGAAAUAGCUUUAGGGCUAGCCUUAAGUGUAAGAGUCUUGGAGGUAGAGCACUGAUUGAACUAGGGGUCCUCAUCGGAUUACCGAAUUCAGUCAAACUCCGAAUGCCAAUGACUUAUCCUUAGGAGUCAGACUGCGAGUGAUAAGAUCCGUAGUCAAGAGGGAAACAGCCCAGAUCGCCAGCUAAGGUCCCAAAGUGUGUAUUAAGUGGAAAAGGAUGUGGAGUUGCUUAGACAACUAGGAUGUUGGCUCAGAAGCAGCCACCAUUUAAAGAGUGCGUAAUAGCUCACUAGUCGAGUGACUCUGCGCCGAAAAUGUACCGGGGCUAAAUACACCACCGAAGCUGCGAAUUGAUACCAAUGGUAUCAGUGGUAGGGGAGCGUUCUAAGUGCAGUGAAGUCAGACCGGAAGGACUGGUGGAGCGCUUAGAAGUGAGAAUGCCGGUAUGAGUAGCGAAAGACGGGUGAGAAUCCCGUCCACCGAAUGCCUAAGGUUUCCUGAGGAAGGCUCGUCCGCUCAGGGUUAGUCAGGACCUAAGCCGAGGCCGACAGGCGUAGGCGAUGGACAACAGGUUGAUAUUCCUGUACCACCUCUUUAUCGUUUGAGCAAUGGAGGGACGCAGAAGGAUAGAAGAAGCGUGCGAUUGGUUGUGCACGUCCAAGCAGUUAGGCUGAUAAGUAGGCAAAUCCGCUUAUCGUGAAGGCUGAGCUGUGAUGGGGAAGCUCCUUAUGGAGCGAAGUCUUUGAUUCCCCGCUGCCAAGAAAAGCUUCUAGCGAGAUAAAAGGUGCCUGUACCGCAAACCGACACAGGUAGGCGAGGAGAGAAUCCUAAGGUGUGCGAGAGAACUCUGGUUAAGGAACUCGGCAAAAUGACCCCGUAACUUCGGGAGAAGGGGUGCUUUCUUAACGGAAAGCCGCAGUGAAUAGGCCCAAGCGACUGUUUAGCAAAAACACAGGUCUCUGCGAAGCCGUAAGGCGAAGUAUAGGGGCUGACACCUGCCCGGUGCUGGAAGGUUAAGGAGAGGGGUUAGCGUAAGCGAAGCUCUGAACUGAAGCCCCAGUAAACGGCGGCCGUAACUAUAACGGUCCUAAGGUAGCGAAAUUCCUUGUCGGGUAAGUUCCGACCCGCACGAAAGGUGUAACGAUUUGGGCACUGUCUCAACCAGAGACUCGGUGAAAUUAUAGUACCUGUGAAGAUGCAGGUUACCCGCGACAGGACGGAAAGACCCCGUGGAGCUUUACUGUAGCCUGAUAUUGAAUUUUGGUACAGUUUGUACAGGAUAGGCGGGAGCCAUUGAAACCGGAGCGCUAGCUUCGGUGGAGGCGCUGGUGGGAUACCGCCCUGACUGUAUUGAAAUUCUAACCUACGGGUCUUAUCGACCCGGGAGACAGUGUCAGGUGGGCAGUUUGACUGGGGCGGUCGC